AAAUACUUUUCUAAGCUUCUCAACCUUUCUUCACUCAUCUCCCUCAAUAUUUCUUUAGAUCCUUGUGUUCUUGAGUACUUUUGCCACACACCCAUUUUUGGUGAAACCCAUUUUCAAAUCCAUCUUUUCUUUGCACCAACAUGUCUUCUUCUUCCAAUGGAUCUUAUUUUCUUACUUUUCAUGGCAAGAAAUAUGAUCCAACAUUUGAUUGGAAUGAUGAGGAGGGGCUCCUUCAAGUCCCCAAGGCCCAUGCUCCAUAUUCUCAUAUGGACAUCAAGAGCCUUAAGAGUUGAGGUAGUCUCUAAAUGUUGAAGAGCAUAUGGGAAGCAUUGUCUCCUGCCAUCAGGAAUAUCAUCAAUGAUGCGGGCUUUGGUACUUUCUUUGGAGCUUUACUAAAUUAGGAGACUCAUGAAUACAAGGACUUCCAGCUACUCCUCGCUUUGUCAGAACGCUUCUGGGACACCACAUGUACCUUCCAUUUUCUAGGCAUUGGUGAGGUAAUGUUGACACCUUACAACUUUUCCAUUAUCACUGGCUUGAAGUUGGGUGGUGAGAGAAUCCAUGUCAAGAAACUUCUAGGUGUAAUGUCUUCCAAAAUGAGGAGUAAAAAUGUUCCUUUGUCGUGGUGAGAACAUUACCAAAUGUGAUACUAUGGCAAAGGGUACCUGCAUGUUCAUGCUUCUUUUCAUUGGGACUUUCUUGUGCCCGGAUUUAGGUAGUACAGUGAAUUUGUGUUAUUUAUGGAGCUUGAGAAACAUUGAGCAAAUCAAGAAUUAUGACUGGGGCUCCAUUUGUAUAGCAAGUGAGGUUUGAAAUUUUUGGUUAUGUGUGAAUUUUGGAAAGUCAUUUUGGCUAUGUAUGGUAAUGGUGUUGUGAAAUUAUUUUUCAGGUCUGGAUGUAUGAAUACUUUGGAGUUAGCCCUGAAAUUCAGGAGGAGGUUAAUAACUUUUUUCCUAGAUUUCUCCGUUGGUUGCCCAAACAUUGUUUGUCAAUGCCCUCCAGGCAUUCUUUGGAAAUUUAGCGCUUGGUGAUUGACAACUUGACUACUAAUGAUAUGUCUUUGAAUCCUUGGGUUGGAUGUAAGGAGUAUGCAGAGUGUGAGUGGGCUUUGGAGCUGAAUAGCCAUCAGGUAUAGUUUGAGUGUGGGCAUGGAAGGUAUUGGUAUCUUGGUAAUUAGGUGUUGCCUCAAGUUCAACAUGUGUAUCCUCCUACAACAAUUCCAGUUCCUCCUUGUCCCUUCAUCUGGUUGGCUAACUUUUUGAUUGAUGAAGAGAUUGCUUAGGCCCGUGUUGGCUUUGCUGUUGUAGGAGUAGCCAGGACUUAUUCUGAAUUCAUUUGAACUCAUCUACAGGGUUGCUUGGCUAGCAUAUCGAUACCUCUCUUUCCUUUCUGAAGUCAAAUUCUCAUUUUGUAUACUCCUUUUCCAUAUUUUUGCUUGGUGACAACAUUUGCAUGUUGGAUUUUCAGACUCCAUCUUUUGAAGGAGAGGAAGAGGGAGAGGAAGAAGAAGAAGAAAUUCCUUCCCCUUACCAUACUGGUAGCUCUUCUAGUUUUUUCAUGGAGACUUAUCCCCAUUUUCUAGCAUGGAAAUAUGAAGUGAUAAAUCCUGAUGGAACAUAUAGUUCCAUGCCUUUGAAUAGGCCAGAGCACACACCAAAUGCCCCUUGGCCUGAUCCGGUUGAUGUUUAUCUUGUGGAGGAAAGUAUGCAAAUGAUUAGAGGUUUGUAACUAUUGGCUCGUACUCAGUUUUCCCGAUAUAUGAUCAGUGAGGCGAGUUGGGUAUGCAAUGAUGCUUUCCAAAUGGCUUUUGCUUGGAUUUUUCUUGACAAAUAACACUUGAUUUUGCUAACUUUUCAGGUGAGUCGAAUGGAAGUGGCUAAUUCCUCCAGAAGAACAUUGGAGGACAGGAUCAGAAACCUUGAACUUGAGAACUGUCAAUAUGAUCCUUGAUUCUAUAUAAGUCAAGAGGGAAAUACUAAAGGCGGUUCCUCUAGAGGUGGGUCGAGGAGGUCUUCUCAC